UACGUAGGUGGCAAGCGUUGUCCGGAUUUACUGGGCGUAAAGAGCGCGCAGGCGGCCGAGUAAGUCGAAUGUGAAAGCCCCCGGCUCAACUGGGGAAGGUCAUUCGAUACUGUUCGGCUUGAAGAUAGGAGAGGGAAGCGGAAUUUCAGGUGUAGUGGUGAAAUGCGUAGAUAUCUGAAGGAACACCAGUGGCGAAGGCGGCUUUCUGGCCUAUUCUUGACGCUGAGGCGCGAAAGCUAGGGGAGCGAACGGGAUUAGAAACCCCCGUAGUCC
rnacentral:rRNA from 1 species